AAGUCAUGGCAUCCUUCUUCUAGAUCCAAUCAAAGAAAGCUCUGGAUUGCAGAAACAAAAGCGAAAGAUGAAAUAAAGAGGAAUGCAGAAAGACAAAGGGAACUUGAACAAGAGAGGGAGUACUUGAAAAAUAG
rnacentral:ribozyme from 1 species